rnacentral:rRNA from 1 species
AUUGAACGCUGGCGGCAGGCCUAACACAUGCAAGUCGAGCGGAUGAAGGGAGCUUGCUCCUGGAUUCAGCGGCGGACGGGUGAGUAAUGCCUAGGAAUCUGCCUGGUAGUGGGGGAUAACGUCCGGAAACGGGCGCUAAUACCGCAUACGUCCUGAGGGAGAAAGUGGGGGAUCUUCGGACCUCACGCUAUCAGAUGAGCCUAGGUCGGAUUAGCUAGUUGGUGGGGUAAAGGCCUACCAAGGCGACGAUCCGUAACUGGUCUGAGAGGAUGAUCAGUCACACUGGAACUGAGACACGGUCCAGACUCCUACGGGAGGCAGCAGUGGGGAAUAUUGGACAAUGGGCGAAAGCCUGAUGCAGCAAUGCCGCGUGUGUGAAGAAGGUCUUCGGAUUGUAAAGCACUUUUAGUUGGGAGGAAGGGCAGUAAGUUAAUACCUUGCUGUUUUGACGGUACCAACAGAAUAAGCACCGGCUAACUUCGUG